GGGAAGCUGCAGCGGCGGCGCCCCCCUCCUCUGGAACACGCCGUCCACGAAGACGCCGUUCUUGCCGAGGCAGCGCAGUUAAGUUAUUCAGUCCGCAUCGAAUUAUGCAGCAGCACCUGACUUCAUCACAGUAAUUAAGAAUUAGCAGACAUCACCUUCACCAUCUAACAGUCAAACAACCUGACCCAAGUUUAACAGAAAUGUGGAGAAUGGGGAGAAGAGCGAAAACAACCAUUUAACCUCCAGCAGGCACUUGUUAGCCUACUCCUAACUCUUGAGAGAAAGAAAACAGCGCUGUACAGCUCCAAAACACAACAAUUUUUACCGGUGAAAAGGCUGCCGGGCGGAUCGGGACCCCUCGCAGCCACUUCUCCUGACAGGAACCCCGCGCUGCCCGCCCGCCCGCCCUCCUUCCCAGACUGCCCCGCGCCUCAUGGCGGCCGAGGCACUGACUGAAUGCGGAGCCUCCACUUUCCGGGGAUGCGGGUGGAGCCGAGCUCCGCUUUCCGGGCAUGGGUGUUUGUAAACACUGCGAGGGACUCCCUCCCGGCACCGCCCCAGUCUCUUCUGUGAGGGAAAAACGAUUGAAGCAAAGCGCUUGGAGCGUUGUCAAGAUUAUUUCAUAUAUUUUGAAGGCAGACCUUCACCCUCGAGAGGUCCAUGGAGGCCAAGAGUCGACUCGCCCAAGGGAAAAGUUUCCAGCCCUAACAACGCCUCGGUUUCUCUCCAAUCAACAGCAGACAACCAUUGAAGCCUUAAAUUGAAAGCAUCCCAGUCCACCCUCAGAGGGUAAUUAUUCAUCAAGCAGCGCGAAAUCCCCACACCACAAAAUGAAAGCCGCAGCCGCAUUACUCUGCGGUAACUGGAAAUGUGAAACCCCCAUCAAUUUAGAAUUCAGCCUUGCCUGACACAGGAUCUUUGCCAAAUAAAUAGCUAACUAAUCAUCACGUUCUUGUUAUGUUUAAAACCGUAACACCUUGGAGAAAAUUAGAAGUAACCAAAAGCGUUUUUUGUUACCCACUUUUUAAACAACAAAGCUCUAUCACUACAAAGUCUUGAAGUAUAACCAGAGAAACUGAACCUCACCAGUUGCUGCAAUUACUGUAUUUAAUGUUGAUCAUUAAUUACUAUUAGUUAUGACCACAUUUAAGCACAAUUCUACUGGUAAGAUUUUUCACCGAAUUAAUUAGCCAUUUUUUGCCAUUUCAUGCU